rnacentral:lncRNA from 1 species
CUCCAGGGGUGCAUGAUAGGUUGGGAGCUGUGGUGGUCCAGGCAGAAAUGGCUUCCCUGGGAAGGUGUUGCGGAAGAGGCGUCUCCGCAGACGCGCUUCGUGAGGAGAAGCUGAAGUGUUGCAAACAACACUGGCUGGGUUGUUUCCUGUCAGUUAUGGAGUGAUGAGGUCAUGCACUUCAUUCUGGCCAGUCAUUGAUAUGAUUUGGCAUUCUCUGCAUGCCAGGCAAGAGUGACUGCUCUUCAGGCCAGAUCUUCCUUCGAGAUGGGUGUUAUCUCCUUUUUAGGAAGGAGGAAACAGAGAGACCUCGUAACUUGGCGUGGCCACACAAUGGGAAUAAAGUGAGUGACCAAGAGGCUGAAUAUCUUCUCCAAAGCCAAAGAACCAGGAAGUGUCAGAGAUCCAAACCCAGGCGAUUUGGGUGCCAGGGCUCAAGCACUUCCCCAUGCAGCCACUGCCUCGAGAAAUAAAAAGACUCACCAGACACUU